ACACUGUCUGGUCCAUUUCACCCUUAGCCGCUGUGUCUCAGGGGCAGGACUGGUUACUGUUGAUGAUCAAAGAGUGUUGAGGACAGGCCUUUUUGGAGGUUUAUGCCAUGGACAUUUGUGGUAUCAACCAAACACUGCUGAUCAGUGUGGAGGUGAGUGUUUAUUUUGAGAAAUACUGUAGGUUACCCUCAUUUUAGAUCCUAAUGUCAACAUCCUUCUUGCCUUAGGUGUCAACAGUGUGGUUUGUAUGUGUUUUCACUGUGUCAUCCGUGAACAGUGACAGUGAAAGAGCUCUUCCUGCCUUCCCUCUGGACUGGAGCAUCCGUAUCAGGGCUCUAUACUAUGAUAUACAAACACUGGUCACAGCUAACAGGUCAGUGAGGCAGAUGGGAUGUGUCAUCAAGUGAGAUCCUUCAAAUGAACUCUGAGACUGGAGUAGCAUUUGCAAAGAAUUCUUGGACAGUGGUGGUUUACUACAGGCUAGAAGGGGGACAGCAAACCUUCAGAGAGCUCAAUGCAAUCUAGACCAGUGGGAGGCCCUAGAGAAGAAACUACAUCCUGAGGCAGAGCUACUGUGCUCGCUACACUUUGGCGCCACCUAUCCAGAGAAGAGAAUACUGCAGGCUAUCUUUAAUGCAACACCCUUCUACAAUUCAUACACUGCUCAGUACAGCAGGAGGAUCUCUGUGCAGCCCCAGUCAGACUCCAUCCUCCAUCUCCUGGCCACUCGGUCUCUCUCCAUCCAUCUGUCUGCCAGUCUGCCCCAGCUGCCCUGCUGUCGCUUCCUCAGUCACCCCCUUCUUUUCAGUCUUCCCUUCAGCUCCCAUACAUGCCAGCAUUUCACCGUCCCAGCAGCAUGUGGCUGAAAUCAGAGUGUUUGGCACCACAGACAUGCUCAGCACACUGAAGGUGAGAAUGAGAGAUCAUGAAAGAGAUGCAUUUGAAAUAAAAUCACUUUUCAGUUUUAUAUUUCUUCACUCUUAUCUAAUUAGGUUCAGUCAUACACCCCAGACAUUGUGUUAUCUGAUGUGGUCUGGUCAGAUGAAGACCCCACCCUCCUCCUUAUGUCAGUCUAUCCAACCUCACAUUUCCUGGAUCACAUACCAUCUAUUGCAAGCAUUACCCUAUCCACAAACCUCUCUCCGCAAAAGCACUUUGUGUUGGUUACUAGAGUGAUGGACAACCUGGAGUCAGUGAACAAUACCAUGCUGUCUCUCACACAGACUGUACGUGCAGUUCUCACACCCUCUACUAAUGCAGGUGACACCCCAAUGUUAUUUGAUUCAGCUGCUUUACCUUAAAGGUGUACUUAGUACUUUUUAUGUUGAAGUCAGCAUGAAUUAAAAAUUUCAUUCUAUUUUUAAUAAAUUAUAUUAUUGUGAAUGAUUCA
ensembl:lncRNA